rnacentral:rRNA from 1 species
UACGUAGGUGGCAAGCGUUGUCCGGAAUUAUUGGGCGUAAAGCGCGCGCAGGCGGUCCUUUAAGUCUGAUGUGAAAGCCCACGGCUCAACCGUGGAGGGUCAUUGGAAACUGGGGGACUUGAGUACGGAAGAGGAAAGCGGAAUUCCCAGUGUAGCGGUGAAAUGCGUAGAUAUUGGGAGGAACACCGGUGGCGAAGGCGGCUUUCUGGUCCGAAACUGACACUGAGAUGCGAAAGCCAGGGGAGCAAACGGG